CGCAAAGACAGACGCACAGCACCACAACCCGAAUGUGCAACCAAAGGCACGCACCCUGAAUGCGACAAAAACUCCACCCAAAGACACACACACAACCCCUCGACACCGCCGCAAAGACAGACACACCACCACAACCCAAAACCCACCCCCCAUGACAGACACACUCCAAACUCCCCCUGCGCACCCCCCCAUCACCCCCACUUCCAUCUCCUUGGGCCAUUUUCACAUCCAGCUCCAGGAUGGCCCCUGCCCCCGAUCUCUGCGUUGUGUGGGUGUGUACCAGGCCGGAGGGGGAGGAAAUCGGACGUGUGGGGCCCAACGAUUAUACAGCCCUUAUCGGGAUUAGGGCCUCAGAUAAGAAAUAGCCGGGAGAUAAUUUUUAUCUCCCUUGCCUUGACGGGCAGCUCACACGGCAGUCACAGAUUUGCCCCGAUGCGGCUCAGUGGGUAGAACAAUGUGUAUUGUAACCCCCCACCCACCCCAGAACGGGGACGACAUCCCCUCGCCCCCCCUCCACGAUUUACCUCGCGAAGGCUUCGAAAGAACCCAGGCGUCCGGGAGGCUGAGAGGAGAGAACGGAAGGGGAACAAUUCUGCAGCUUACCGAGCUCUGCACGGGUCUGAGCUAGCAAGGGUGAGAGAGAAGGAAAGAUUCUGCUCGGGGAACAGAGGGUGCACUGAAGGACGACACAAUGACUGAAAGAUCACUCGAAGGGAGGAGUUUCCACCCUCCUGGCUCCUUUUCUGGGGAUCUCGGCUUCCCUGACUCCACCCUUUUCUGGCUCCCCAGGGCUCGGUCAUUCUCUUCUCCAUUUGCACCUUCUCCCCCCCACAAACCCGGGUCCAACUCCCGCCUCCACUCCCGGAUCGACCUCGCCAAGCUAAAAUCCGGCCCUCUCCUGGCUGUCUAGGCAGCUCCUCACCUCCCCCGCCACCCAACCCAGCUUGCCUGUCGCCAUCGACGCGGGCCUCCCUCCCACGUGCGGACUCCGUGCAAAUCUUGUGGUUGCCGCCCGACGUCCUCAAGUUCUAGCUUUUCCUCUCCAUUCAGCCAGCCGACCGCUCUCCUCACCCCACCGCAUUGUCCGUGCGAUCUUGUCCAGAAUGGGGGCCCCCCGCCGAGAUCCUCCUCUGAGCCCGUUUCUCUGUCCACGUUGCCCCUAAGAAGAGAAGAACAGCCACGCUGGGUCAGUCCAAUCGCUAGCCCGGGGUCCUGUCUGCCGACAGCAGCCAACACCAGGUGCUUCGGAGGGAACGAAGAGUGACCCAUCCCAUCGCCCUGUCCCAGCUCCUGGCAGGCAGAGGUUUAGGGACCCCCAGAGCAUAGGGUAGCAGCCCUGGCCAAUAGCCACUGAUGGACCUAUCCGCCAUGAACGGAUCUAGUGCCAUUUCCAACCCUUGCAGCCCCCCACUGACGCCCCCUUCUCUGGCACAUCAAACAUAAGCUGUUUGGACAAUGAGAAGGAGGUUUUUUUAACCACAUGAGGAACACAAAGGAUCCCAAGAAUGGUAUUAGUCCAUUCCUUGAUGCACAUGGUAGACUUACCAAUACUAGCACAGAACAGGCAGACACGGUCAAUAAAUAUUUCUGUUCUGCGUAAAAAAACCCACUCGGACGAGUGAUGACAACACUUUUUCCAUUCCACUAGUGCCUCUGGAGGACGCUACUAAAGUCAGACAUUUUUACAUCAUCAGGCCCAGAGACCUUCAAUCCAAGAGUUUGAAGAGAGCUGGCCGAGGAGCUGGCAGUACUGUUACUUGGAGCACUGGGGGAAGGUCAAUCUGUAAUAAAUCUGCAAUAAACCAAGGUGCCAAUUUUUGAAAAAGGGUGAACGAGAUGAUCUGGGUAAUUAUAGACCUGUCAGCCUGACAUCCAUCCUGGGCAAGAUAAUGGAGCGGCUGAUACAGGACUCAAUUAAUGAAGAAUUAAAAGAGAGUGACAUAAUUAAUGCCAAUCAACAGGGGUUUACGGAAAAUAGAUGCGGUCAAACUAACUUAGUAUCUUUUUUUGACGAGAUUACACGUUUGGUUGCUAAAGAUGGCAGCGUUGAUGUAACAGGCAGACUUCGCUGAGGCGUUUGACCUGGUCCCGCGUGACACUGAUUAAAAAUUCACACAAUGUAACAUUAACACAACCCACAUUAAAUGCCUUAAAAACUG